GAUGAACGCUGGCGGCGUGUCUAAGGCAUGCAAGUCGAACGGACUGUUAUUUGUAGCAAUACUUAGAACAGUUAGUGGCAAACGGGUGCGUAACACAUUGGUAACCUGCCUCAAAGUCAGGCAUAAUCCCGCGAAAGUGGGACUAAUUCCACGAUAGUCAUCGAAGGUGAGAUUCCUUCGAUGUAAAGUCGCAAGACGCUUUGAGAGGGGCCUAUGGCCUAUCAGCUUGUUGGUGAGGUAACGGCUCACCAAGGCUAUGACGGGUAGGGGGUGUGAGAGCACGACCCCCCUCACUGGGACUGAGACACUGCCCAGACACCUACGGGUGGCUGCAGUCGAGAAUAUUCCCCAAUGGCCGAAAGGCUGAGGGAGCGACGCCGCGUGCAGGAAUAAGG
rnacentral:rRNA from 1 species